CCUACGGGUGGCAGCAGUGAGGAAUAUUGGUCAAUGGACGAAAGUCUGAACCAGCCAAGCCGCGUGAAGGAUGAAUGCCCUAUGGGUUGUAAGCCUCUUUUAUAUGGGAAUAAAAUGUUGCACGUGUGCGCUUUUGUAUGUACCAUAUGAAUAAGGAUCGGCUAACUCCGUGCCAGCAGCCGCGGUAAUACGGAGGAUCCGGGCGUUAUCCGGAUUUAUUGGGUUUAAAGGGAGCGUAGGUGGAUUGUUAAGUCAGGUGUGAAAGCUUGCGGCUCAACCGUAAAAUUGCCGUUGAAACUGGCAGUCUGGAGUGCAGGAGAGGUGGGCGGAAUUCGUGGUGUAGCGGUGAAAUGCUUAGAUAUCACGAAGAACUCCGAUGGCGAAGGCAGCUCGCUGGACUGCAACUGACACUGAGGCUCGAAAGUGUGGGUAUCAAACAGGAUUAGAUACCCGUGUAGUC
rnacentral:rRNA from 1 species